CGGGUUCCUAUAACACAA
rnacentral:siRNA from 1 species